AUACAACUAAACAUGCCUAAAGACUUUGAUUUUAUUUUUAUAUUGGUAAUUCAUAUUUACCAUGUUGAAAAUGGAAAAAAAAAAUACAAGUGUUAGGUCUGUAGGACAUGCCUGGGUUCAAAAUUGUGUUUGUAUAGUAGCAGCCACGUACACUUUAAGAAGAUGAAGUUGUUAAGCGAAGGGUUGAAUGUUUAAUGCAGUUUAGGUAGUUGUUCAAUGUCUUUAAUUACUAGACGUCCCUGUACAUUCAUUUUAUUGAGUCAAAUAUCAAUCUCAUUCAGAGAUAUGAGUGGUUGAUUAUUUAGAUUAGCCAACUUGCUUUUCUUUUCUUUUUAUAACACAUACUCUUAAUUCCUAUGUUCUCAGUACAAAUUUAGUCUUGUUGCACGGCCCAUCAGGUGGAUGUAUGAUUUAGAAAACAUAAAAUCAAGAAUUGCAUGGCAAGGAGAGAAAACUUUCAUAUGAGUUGUAUCUGAAAGUUUUGUUCAUCUCAAAGGUCUUAACGUAUCUUGUGCUGCUUUGGUGGUUUUGGAGGGUUCCUGUUGCCUCCAUAUCACAACAACUUGUGCAACCCUUUGGGAAAGUGCUAUCAUGGAGUGCUGGAGGAAUUUUAAAUGAAAAUGUUAUGAUAGGAAUAAUACCUUGGUUGAUAUUCUCUACCAGGGUUAGCAAAUUUGUUUGUCGACUGUUCAAGUUGAAAGAAUUGAAGUGAUCGUCCUGUGAAGUUGUCUUGAGGGGAAAGUAAUUUGGUAUGAUUUGCUUUACCUUAUAACCACAAUAUCUAAGCAUCAUGUACUACAUUUUGUUUUUAUAAACGGGAGUAAGAGGAAUCAAACAGGAGAUGUCUUUUAAUAUUAGGAAGAAAAUUAUCAUUAAACUAAUAGCUAUCAUGCAUUUUGUUUACAACUAAAAUAUAAAUAAGAAUAAUAAUUUAUGUCUUUACGAUAUAUAUAUAUAAAAACAAACAUCUUGAGAAUGAAACUCCAAUGCUCAUUUAUGGAAAAUGAAAAUGAGAUUGUCGAGUUUAGUUUAGACAAGUUUUACAAAAGCUCAAAACCAAACUAAAUAAAUCAGACCAUUCGCGGUUUGAUUUGGUAGCUAGGUGUGGAGUAAUUAUAUAUAACAUAUAAAUUAUAAUUAAAGGUGAGAGGGAGAUGCAUGGCAAUGGCAAUGGCAUGGCCAACGGACACAUCCUUUUUAUUUAAAUGUUUUUUUUUAUAAAAACAUUUAAUUUAAAUAUUGAUUGAAUUGGAAAUGGGUGGGAUAUGUUUUAUAUUGUAACGAUCUUUUUCUUUUUUGUGAAUGGU